GGUCUGGUCGCCAAGUGGUAAGGCAACAGUUUGCAAAACUGUCAUGCGUGGGUUCAAAUCCCUCCCAGACCU
rnacentral:tRNA from 1 species